GUAAUAUUUGUUUUCCUAAAUAGUAUUGCUGGUGCACUAUGUUACAGGAAAAAAAAUAUUACAAGCUCUCGAUGAUAUUGAUUGCAAUUUUCGAAUCUACAACACUAACAUAACUGCUCCAGAUAGCUCCUCAUAAAAAGUCUUCCCGACUUAAGGGAUUAACGAAAAUUCUACAAAACUGAAGUGCUAAUGCAACCAUGAAUCACGACAAAAAUUAUCCACUAGCUAAACCUUGUUAAGAUCCCCAUUUCACUUUAGUUAUUGCUUUGAAUACGAAGUCGAUCUAUGCAGCCACUGGUUGCUUCUGAGCAAAUGCAAUACCCUUCUCAAUGCUGGCCUUAAGUUCGGGCUUGAGAGCCUCCAGUGCCUUCUUCUCAUACUCGCUCAACCCUUGGAGAUCAGAUGAAAUGAUAGCUUCAACCCCAUU
rnacentral:misc_RNA from 1 species